GAUGAACGCUGGCGGCGUGCCUAAUACAUGCAAGUCGAGCGAACGGACGAGAAGCUUGCUUCUCUGAUGUUAGCGGCGGACGGGUGAGUAACACGUGGAUAACCUACCUAUAAGACUGGGAUAACUUCGGGAAACCGGAGCUAAUACCGGAUAAUAUUUUGAACCGCAUGGUUCAAAAGUGAAAGACGGUCUUGCUGUCACUUAUAGAUGGAUCCGCGCUGCAUUAGCUAGUUGGUAAGGUAACGGCUUACCAAGGCAACGAUGCAUAGCCGACCUGAGAGGGUGGUCGGCCACACUGGAACUGAGACACGGUCCAGACUCCUACGGGAGGCAGCAGUAGGGAAUCUUCCGCAAUGGGCGAAAGCCUGACGGAGCAACGCCGCGUGAGUGAUGAAGGUGUUCGGAUCGUAAAACUCUGUUAUUAGGGAAGAACAUAUGUGUAAGUAACUGUGCACAUCUUGACGGUACCUAAUCAGAAAGCCACGGCUAACUACGUG
rnacentral:rRNA from 1 species